CAUUAACCUUUCUCUAUAUCCCGAGCAUAUUGUUCAUUGUGAUUAUUCGCUUCAAAUCAGAUUGAACUGGCAAUGCUUCCAAAAAAUGGUGCAAGAGCUGUUGGGGCAGCGGUCUUGCUUACUGUGCGCAGUGUAGAUACAUAAUGGGAUUUCAGUUCAUGAACAUUGAACAAAGAUGAUGCCCAUCCGCCCAAAGAUAAAUUAAUAGCCCAAGGAAUGACCACCAGAGUUCCCAUACAUUCUCUAACCUCAUACAGAUUCGGAUAACAAAAAUGGGAUCAGCUGAUACAUGUUUUACAUUUCUUAUUUUGUUUUGUGUAUAGAUUAGAUAUGCAUAAUCAAGUCCACAAAUGUAGUUUGUGUA